GACGGAGGGGGCUAGCGUUGUUCGGAAUGACUGGGCGUAAAGGGCGCGUAGGUUGUUUAUUAAGUUAGAUGUGAAAGCCCUGGGCUUAACCCAGGAACUGCAUUUAAAACUGAUGAACUAGAGUGUGGUAGAGGGACGUGGAAUUCCGAGUGUAGAGGUGAAAUUCGUAGAUAUUCGGAGGAACAUCUGAGGCGAAGGCGACGUCCUGGGCCACUACUGACACUGAGGCGCGAAAGCGUGGGGAGCAAACAGG
rnacentral:rRNA from 1 species